rnacentral:lncRNA from 1 species
GUAAGGAGGAAGCGGCGCGCAUGCGUAUUUCAGACGGAGUGCCGGGGAGGGGAGGCGCUCAGCAUUCGGGUAAUUAAGGUUGCAAAAUGGCGAGGGGGGAGGUAAGCUGUCUUUGCUUGGCCAUCUUGGGCUAGCAGGCCUUGCAGAGAACUACCUUUUUAGCUGAGUGAAGGGAUCAACCUGAGUUGGAGUUCUCCUAUGCUGUGGCCAGAUCCACUAGAAAUUAACCCAGAAUCUUAGCCUCUCAGUGGCCUAUCGGUGAUGCCACACUCAAUCAGAAACUAUGCUACUGCUGAAGAGGUAUAUUGAGCCCUGCCUGGUUAACCUCCAGUGAGGUUAUUAGAGAAUUGGGAGAGGCUCAAAUCAGCAUCCUGCACCUAGUUAUCAAACCAUUGUGAAGUCUUGAUUCCUGGAUGGCCAGAAAACUUGUCAUUGGUCAAGAGCAACAUUAAGAUCUGCCUGUUACUCAUACUGAUGCUUCCUGCCCAGCAAGUUCAUCAGAGGGCGAGGAUGAAUUACGGUUGCCAUGAAUGUCCUUGUGAGGCAGUUGGGAAGCCUUGGCUGGAUUGUGAAGGAUAUUUGAAAAGUAUUUUAGAGUCCACCAGAUCAUCCAUGUGAGUGACCAUGCAGCAAAAGAAGGAGGGUCCUCUCAGUGAUUAAGGAUUAUGAAGUAUUAAUUCUUCCACUGAUAUCUCAAAAGGUGAUCUGGACAAAGGAACAGGUAUCUCAGGAUUCCUCCUUGGUCACUUUUCAGCAGCAGCCUGCUCUUCUUUUGCAAUCUCUUCAGGAUCUCUGUAGAAGUAGAGAUCAGGCAUGAACUCCCACGGGUGUUCACGGGAAAUGGUGCCACGCAUGCGCAGAACUUCCCGAGCCAGCAU